rnacentral:ncRNA from 2 species
CUUCACGAGACGCGACUGCCAAGCUCCGACUGGGUCGCGCACCAACCCCAUGCUCAUCGGGUGGUUCGGAUGAGGAAGCGGCCUGCAUCCCCGCUGCCCCGCAGCGGGUGACCGGUGCGGGUAAGAGCACGUG